rnacentral:rRNA from 1 species
GACAGAGGGUGCAAACGUUGUUCGGAUUUACUGGGCGUAAAGCGCGUGUAGGCGGCUUUGCAAGUCGGAUGUGAAAGCCCACGGCUCAACCGUGGAAGUGCAUCCGAAACUGCAUGGCUUGAGUCUCGGAGAGGAAGGUGGAAUGCUUGGUGUAGAGGUGAAAUUCGUAGAUAUCAAGCGGAACACCGGUGGCGAAGGCGGCCUUCUGGACAGUGACUGACGCUGAGACGCGAAAGCGUGGGGAGCAAACAGG